GGCGUGAACACCGACGUUGGGAGAUACUGCUUCUCCGGAUCAGGUUAGCACUUAGUCUCUGUGGAAAUCAAUUUAGUUUCACAUCAAAUUGUAACAUGUUAAGAUGUGGUGCACAUGUGAAGUUUGUUUUGCGCUUUGUAUGUACAAAUUUCCUAAUUAGGACCCAAUCAUUUCAUUCUUCCAUCUACUUGA